GCUCCCAUCGUCUAGAUGGCCAAGGACUCCGCCCUUUCACGGCGGUAACAGGGGUUCGAAUCCCCUUGGGAGUGCCA
rnacentral:tRNA from 1 species